AUUUCGUAUUGAAAAAGCGUUGCAGUUAGCAGUCCUAUCGAAGAUUUCCAUACCUCACCAUUUGAUUCACUAAAUAAAGUUACAUACAAAGGCUUUGAUGGCAUUCCACAAUGCCGUAAGAUUUGUCCCGAUUUCACCCCCUUAGGCGUGCCCCGUGACCUCUUCACCUUGGCGGCGUAGCUUGUACGUCCACCCUUUUAGCGCUCGCCAGAGCGAGAAAUAUAGUUUGCCGUUUAUUGCCUAGUAAUGAGCCCGAGGUUCUUUUGAAAACAGCUCAAAUGAAUUUGCACAACAAAAGAUGACAAAACGUGGACCGUACGGACCGCGCGCCGUGCCCGCCCUCCGUCGACGUCGUGCGUAACGCCGAAGUCCCCCUCGUUAAAUAGCUUCCGAGUGAUGUAUGAGCGACUGCGAUAUUCGUCUGCGAACUUUGGACUAAUUAAUGAGGGCUCGCGAACAGAUGUUGGCCCCAUUGCGACACGCGCUUGUUAGCAAUGAUUUGAUAAACAACAGGCUAAUAUGCUAAUGGAUAGCAGCUGUCGGUGACUUCUUUUCAGUCUGUUUUUUGCUCCGCUUACAGUAAGACGCUCAAAUUCACCUGCGCCCUCUCGGGGCCCGUCUGUUCACCCCCGCGGCCCACCAGUGGAAAAGAUCACCUGGUUUGCUCGGCACACGCCAUUACCCCGCUCAGUUAGCAUGACAUAAUCAACAGGUUUUGGCCACUGGUAACACAUCCUCCCCCUGGAAUGUUUAUACCGGCGCACAUUCCUCGCUCUGAGCUCGUGGCUUUCCGCAGCGUCUCGCUCAGGUUUGCCAGGACAUCAGUCAUCGUGUCACGGAAGCCGUUGCAAACCGUCGUUCUCUUCGUACCACCUCAGGAUUCGUGUCACCGUGGACCUUGUUGGCUUCCAUAUAGUGCGUACUGUGUGUUUGCCCUUCUGCCAGGUGCCCCCCCCCUUCCGCACCCCCCGCCCCCAGAGGACCCUGACAUGAGCCAUUAAAGUUUAUAAGCAUGGGGCCCAGCUGUCAAUCAGGUAGGCAAACCGCCCUCCCUCCCCCGGGCCCCAUCCAAUCACUCGCCGAGGUGAGCCCCGCGAAACCCCAGAGAACCCCUGACCUCGCUUUGACGGAGAGCUCAAGCAAGCGGGGUUAGUCCGGCUUUGACCGGCUGGGCUUACAGAAAGUCAUUUUCGCCCCAAGGCUCGGAGGCAACUUUUUCAACCAAACGCCGACGCUUGGUCAACUCUGAGCUAGCUUGGAGAAUUUGUCCUUGGGAAAUCUCUUUCGUAUGUAUAGUAUGUUAGUGUCGUAUGCUCCUGUGCUGUCCUGACCCCGCUAGUCAUCGCGAUCCCUUCCCCGCAUGCUUCGGCAAUGCCUUCGCGGUCCACAUUACGGUGAUUCUCAAGUCCUGUCCAAUAUUGUCUGACAGUGUUUUUCAAUCAACAUCCCGAUGGAUCCCUUACAUUAUUCUCAGGCUUCCAGUCACUGACGUAGCAACAUGAGUAAGGACCAUUUGGUUUUGAUGAUUUACUACAGGCAAUCUAAACAAAUUGGAUUUGCGCUUUCUUGAACCAACCAUAAGAAGGCCGCCACGUUUUAAGCCGUGCACGAGUUGUCGGUGGCCACAACUCACGGCGAGUCACUCACCACGCCAACGUACGGCUAACUCUCCAUUCUCCUUCACUGACGCCCACGUCACUCACCAGGCCAGGUCAUGCCUUUUCCGAGCAAAACGCAUCAGCAAUUAUACAUCAGCAAUUCAGUGUAGCCUUGAAAAUUUUUUAACUAUUUCACUUUGAAAAAAACCCAAAUGAAGUGUCGAUCGCAAAUGCACGUCAUCACGUGCACCAGCACCCGGUCGGUUCCCGUGCGCAUGAUGUCGUGUGGCGUGACACUGAGGGAUUAAAGUAUCCUUAACCCUGCACUGCCUCUUCCUUCUUCCCCCGUGCACCCCUCCCACUCGCUAUUUGUUCAAAUUAAAAGAACUAUUCCGACCUGGCGGAAGAACCCGAGUGCUCUUGACAUCUCCCCGGUACGCCCAACUUGAGCGUCGUCUUUGUGUCUUUUCUUUGCCAUCCCUUUGCUUGAACGGGGAACGGAUCAAGCGAUGAUGUCUCGUCUGACAAAAGUGGCGAGAAACUCUGCGUGCCGAUCCAGACUACACACGCGCAUAUACUUUGGUAUGAGCAAGCAGUUUCCAUGUGUUUGUGUCCUCCGGGUGGGUCACAGUACAAAGAGCAUAUUGUCCUUGUGGAUUUAUUUAUUUUUUUGUCAUAGCGAAGCAGCGCUCCAGAGUCGCUGCGGACCGUUUUCAUGGUGCGUCAGCAACUUAGUUGGCUCUUCACACCCUGGCUUGUAAGUUCACAUGCAGAGCUGAGCUGGAGGAGGCGAAAGGGAACGAGAGUUCAAGCGAGGUUAACGCUCGCUGGUUGGUUUUCUUGUGAGGCCGGGUUGGCGCGGCACGAUUCCAGCCACGCGGUCCCUGUUUUUGCUCACCGUUGGCUGACGCGUCAUGGCGACGUAAAGGCUGAAUGAGGCGCGCAAUCGGAGGGCGGACAGAUAAGUAGCGGAUAUCUUCUAUUGUAAGCGUAGUGCGUGAAUGUGCGGGUUGACUAUACCCCGUCAACGGAGGUCAUCGUGAUGUCUAAGAACACCGUGUCUGCUCGAAACCCCGACAAAGACGGCAAAAAAA